AAUCCAAGAAUUUCACCUCCAACGCAGCAAUACGAAUGCCCCCGUCUGUCCCUAUUAAUCAUUACUCCGCGUUCCGAAACCAACGAAAUAGAACCGAAGUCCUAUUCAAUUAUCCCAUGCAACAAUGUUCAGGCAUAGGCCUGCUUUGAGCACUUCAAUUUUUUCAAGGUAAACGUUCCAGCAACUAGAGACACUCAGUGAAGAGCAUCAAUCGUUCACCAGAUGAUUCGGCCUGACACAGCAGUACAUCCGAGAUGAAUGACCACUGGCCAAGGACCGUAGAUCCAACUACGAGCGUUUCAACCGCAACAACUUUAAUAUACGCUAUUGGAGCUGGAAUUACCGC
rnacentral:misc_RNA from 1 species